GGAUUAGAUACCCUGGUAGUCCACGCCCUAAACGAUGUCUACUAGUUGUCGGGUCUUAAUUGACUUGGUAACGCAGCUAACGCGUGAAGUAGACCGCCUGGGGAGUACGGUCGCAAGAUUAAAACUCAAAGGAAUUGACGGGGACCCGCACAAGCGGUGGAUGAUGUGGAUUAAUUCGAUGCAACGCGAAAAACCUUACCUACCCUUGACAUGUCAGGAACCUCCGAGAGAUUGGAGGGUGCCCGAAAGGGAGCCUGAACACAGGUGCUGCAUGGCUGUCGUCAGCUCGUGCCG
rnacentral:rRNA from 1 species